GAUGAAGAACGUAGCGAAAUGCGAUACGUAAUGUGAAUUGCAGAAUUCAGUGAAUCAUCGAAUCUUUGAACGCAUAUUGCGCUCUCUGGUAUUCCGGAGAGCAUGCUUGUUUGAGUAUUAGUAAACACCUCAACUCCCUUUUCUUUUUUGAAAUUGGAGCUGGACUUGAGUGAUCCCAACGCUUUCUUCCAAGAAAGUGGCGGGUUGCUUGAAAUGCAGGUGCAGCUGAACUUUUCUCUGAGCUAUAAGCAUAUCUAUUUAGUCUGCCUAAAAAACAGAUUAUUACCUUUGCUGCAGCUAACAUAAAGGAGACUAGUUCUUGUGCUGACUGAUGCAGGAUUCACAGAGACAGCUUCGGCUGACUUUGUAAACUCGAUCUCAAAUCAAGUAAGACUACCCGCUGAACUUAAGCAUAUCAAUAAGCGGAGGA
rnacentral:misc_RNA from 1 species